rnacentral:rRNA from 1 species
GAUGAACGCUAGCGGCAGGCUUAAUACAUGCAAGUCGAACGGCAGCACGGGUAGCAAUACCUGGUGGCGAGUGGCGCACGGGUGCGUAACACGUAUGCAACUUACCCUUUACCGAGACAUAACCCAUCGAAAGGUGGGCUAAUAUCUCAUAAUAUUAUGAAUUGGCAUCAAUUUAUAAUUAAAGUUCCGGUGGUAAAGGAUAGGCAUGCGUCCCAUUAGCUAGUUGGUAGGGUAACGGCUUACCAAGGCGACGAUGGGUAGGGGUUCUGAGAGGAACAUCCCCCACACUGGUACUGAGACACGGACCAGACUCCUACGGGAGGCAGCAGUAAGGAAUAUUGGUCAAUGGGCGCAAGCCUGAACCAGCCAUGCCGCGUGGAGGAAGAAGGCCUUAUGGGUCGUAAACUUCUUUUAUAAGGGAAAAAACUGGGGUACGUGUACCUCAUUGCUUGUACCUUAUGAAUAAGCAUCGGCUAACUCCGUGCCAGCAGCCGCAGUAACAC